AGUGAACGCUGGCGGUAGGCCUAACACAUGCAAGUCGAACGGCAGCACAGUAAGAGCUUGCUCUUACGGGUGGCGAGUGGCGGACGGGUGAGGAAUACAUCGGAAUCUACUUUUUCGUGGGGGAUAACGUAGGGAGACUUACGCUAAUACAGCAUACGACCUACGGGUGAAAGGAGGGGAUCUUCGGACCUUGCGCGAUUGAAUGAGCCGAUGUGGGAUUAGCUAGUUGGCGGGGUAAAGGCCCACCAAGGCGACGAUCCGUAGCUGGUCUGAGAGGGUGUACAGCCACACUGGGACUGAGAGACGGUCCUGACUCCGACGGAAGGCAGCAGUGGGGAAUAUUGGACAAUGGGCGCAAGCCUGAUCCAGCCAUACCGCGUGGGUGAAGAAGGCCUUCGGGUUGUAAAGCCCUUUUGUUGUGAAAGAAAAGCAGCAGGUUAAUACCCCGCUGUUCUGACGGUACCCAAAGAAUAAGCACCGGCUAACUUCGUG
rnacentral:rRNA from 1 species